AUGAUAAUGCCGGUGGAGCAGUCCCAGUAUGUUAGCAUAAAAAUGGGUGUUGGCAUCAUAACUUGGUGUCGUGUCCAUGACAUGAUACUUGAUAUGAUAUGUCUAUUGUCGAAGGAAGAAAACUUUAUUACUGUGUUGGACAGUGAUGAGCAAUAUACAACUUCACAUUGCAACGCUCGUAGGCUAGCUGUUCAACAUGUAGUCCAACCUCUGGCUAGCACGUCAACAUUACAAACAAGGUCACUUAAUGCCAUUUGCAAUGCUGAGAUGUUGCCGUCACUUUCAUGCUUUGAAGUUUUGCGUGUCCUAGCUUUGGAAGACCCCCUUGGUUCGCACAAUCCUAAUUAUCUUGAGCAUGUUGGAAAGUUAGUUCACUUGAGGCACCUCAAAUUAGAGAGCAUGGGUAUCCGUGAGCUCCCAAAGGAAAUAGGACAUCUGAAGUUCUUGCUGGUAUUGGACUUGGGUAGAAAUAGCAUAAGUGAACUUCCAGAGAGUAUUGGUGGACGAAGUCAACUAAAGUGCUUGAACAUGUGUGAAACAGAAAUUGAAGUGCCAUGCUGGAUCGGGAAUUUGACAUCUCUGGAAGAGCUAUGCCUAGGACAAGUUGGUGUGCGCUCCAACUUUGUGACAGAACUGGGCAAGUUGACAGCGUUGAGGAAGCUCCGCAUUUCUGGAAGUGUAUAUUUAUAUGGUGAUGAUAGUAGAAUGAAUAGUUGGGCAGAGUCUGUAGCCAAACUCAGCAAGAUCCAAGUCAUAGACAUUCACUCAGUUUACGGGCGGAGAGAUUCUAGUGAUGAAGAGAAACCCUGGGAACAGUAUGUCCUCUCUCCACAACUCCGUGUUCUACACAUGUGCUACGAUGAACCUAGGUUGAUGGCAAGGAUCAAUCCCAGGCUUCUUCCGAAUCUAUCCCAAUUAAAAUUGUUUAUAUACAACCCAGAUCUGGAGGUCUUUGGAAGUUUCCACGAGCUUGUUUCUCUUGAGCUGAACACGUGGUCAGCUCUCCACCAUGACACCAUGGGCGGUGCAGGUGCAUUCCCCAAGCUGAGGGUUUUCAACACACCAGCAACCCUUGGCUCGUUUCAAGAGGAGGAUAUGCCGGUCCUUGAAUUUCUUGAGUUCAGCGUUGUAGCACAGUCCAAUGAUGAUGGCAUUAGCUUUGAAUUUGACUUUGGUAGCCUAGGGAACCUCCCUUUGCUUCAGCAUGUCACAGUCACUUUAUAUGCCCCUCCUGUGGACUAUAAAAAGGCUAGCAAAAUGGUGAAGCGUGCAAUUGAUACGCUUCCCAACCGUGUCAGUCCUUAUAUCAGCACAAUGGACAUAAAGGACUGGAGUCGGAGAUUGACAAACAGAUUGAGCUAA
rnacentral:rRNA from 1 species